UACAGAGGGUGCGAGCGUUAAUCGGAAUUACUGGGCGUAAAGCGUGCGUAGGCGGUUAUGUAAGUUAGGUGUGAAAGCCCCGGGCUCAACCUGGGAAUUGCAUUUAAGACUGCAUAGCUAGGGUGCGGAAGAGGGAAGCGGAAUUUCCGGUGUAGCGGUGAAAUGCGUAGAUAUCGGAAGGAACAUCAGUGGCGAAAGCGGCUUCCUGGUCCAGCACCGACGUUCAGGCACGAAAGCGUGGGGAGCAAACAGG
rnacentral:rRNA from 1 species